rnacentral:rRNA from 1 species
AUAUCAAUARGCGGAGGAAAAGAAACCAACAGGGAUUGCCCUAGUAACGGCGAGUGAAGCGGCAACAGCUCAAAUUUGAAAUCUGGCCCUAGUGGUCCGAAUUGUAAUUUGUAGAGGAUGCUUUUGGUGCGGUGCCUUCCGAGUUCCCUGGAACGGGACGCCGGAGAGGGUGAGAGCCCCGUACGGUUGGACACCUAGCCUCUGUAUAGCUCCUUCAACGAGUCGAGUAGUUUGGGAAUGCUGCUCUAAAUGGGAGGUAAAUUUCUUCUAAAGCUAAAUACCGGCCAGAGACCGAUAGCGCACAAGUAGAGUGAUCGAAAGAUGAAAAGCACUUUGAAAAGAGGGUUAAAUAGCACGUGAAAUUGUUGAAAGGGAAGCGUUUGCGACCAGACCUUUUCCGGGCGGAUCAUCCGGCGUUCUCGCCGGUGCACUUCGUCCGGUUUAGGCCAGCAUCGGUUUUCUUAGGGGGAUAAAGGCUUGGGGAAUGUAGCUCUUUCGGGAGUGUUAUAGCCCCUUGCGUAAUACCCUUCGGGGGACCGAGGACCGCGCUCUGCAAGGAUGCUGGCGUAAUGGUCGUCAACGACCCGUCUUGAAACACGGACCAAGGAGUCGAACAUUUGUGCGAGUGUUUGGGUGUUAAACCCUCACGCGUAAUGAAAGUGAACGGAGGUGAGAGCCCGUACGGGUGCAUCAUCGACCGAUCCUGAUGUCUUCGGAUGGAUUUGAGUAAGAGCAUAACUGUUCGGACCCGAAAGAUGGUGAACUAUGCGUGGAUAGGGUGAAGCCAGAGGAAACUCUGGUGGAGGCUCGCAGCGGUUCUGACGUGCAAAUCGAUCGUCAAAUCUGCGCAUGGGGGCGAAAGACUUAUCGAACCAUCUAGUAGCUGGUUACCGCCGAAGUUUCCCUCAGAUAGCAGUGUUGUCUUCAGUUUUAUGAGGUAAGCGAAUGAUUAGGGAC